rnacentral:tRNA from 1 species
GGAUUAUGGCUCAGUGGUAGAGCACUUGCCUUGCAUGUGUGAGGCAUUGGGUUCAAUUCUCAGCACCA